GACGAACGCUGGCGGCGUGCUUAACACAUGCAAGUCGAACGGUAAGGCCCUUCGGGUACACGAGUGGCGAACGGGUGAGUAACACGUGGGUGAUCUGCCCUGCACUUCGGGAUAAGCCUGGGAAACUGGGUCUAAUACCGGAUAGGACUCCGGACUGCAUGGUCUGGGGUGGAAAGCUUUUGCGGUGUGGGAUGGGCCCGCGGCCUAUCAGCUUGUUGGUGGGGUGAUGGCCUACCAAGGCGACGACGGGUAGCCGGCCUGAGAGGGUGACCGGCCACACUGGGACUGAGAUGCGGCCCAGACUCCGACGGGAGGCAGCAGUGGGGAAUAUUGCACAAUGGGCGCAAGCCUGAUGCAGCGACGCCGCGUGAGGGAUGACGGCCUUCGGGUUGUAAACCUCUUUCAGCAUCGACGAAGCGAAAGUGACGGUAGGUGCAGAAGAAGGACCGGCCAACUACGUGCCAGCCGCCGCCGUAA
rnacentral:rRNA from 1 species